rnacentral:rRNA from 1 species
UACGAAGGGGGCUAGCGUUGCUCGGAAUCACUGGGCGUAAAGCGCACGUAGGCGGGUCUUUAAGUCAGGGGUGAAAUCCCGGAGCUCAACUCCGGAACUGCCUUUGAUACUGGAGAUCUUGAGUCCGGGAGAGGUGAGUGGAACUCCGAGUGUAGAGGUGAAAUUCGUAGAUAUUCGGAAGAACACCAGUGGCGAAGGCGGCUCACUGGUCCGGUACUGACGCUGAUGUGCGAAAGCGUGGGGAGCAAACAGG